ACUGUACGGUGAGGCUUGUAGCUGCUGUGAGGAGGCCUAGGGUUUUUGGGGUCCGCCGAAAAUUAGGCACCGUCUAACGAGAGGCAAGACAAACUCUCUUUAACAGUCGGCAAAGAGGGCCUGGGAUCAAAGAGUGGGUCAGAGCCAGGUCAGACUUCCUCGUCGAAAGGAGAGCGAGUUCGAAGUCGAAGUCGGACAAGAUAAACGGCUAUAAAUAGAUGGCAUUGGACGCCAUUGCGGGAUUCCAAGCCUGGUCGACAGCAUUGGAUUUUGUUCUCCAAGUGUCCUCUAUAGUGUCAGCCGUAGUUGAAUAUUCAAAGAAAGGAAAAAGAGAAAAACCAUAUAAAUACAAUAACUAGUGAAAAGUAGCCAGGAAGUGAGACGGUGAUUAGUGAAACCUCUUCGAUACACCCUUUCGACGGGUCACCCGUUUGGGUCUUAAAUUGGAGGAGGCUCGUCUUCCACGACCGCCAGCUGAAAUUCGUAGAAAUUCGCCGGAGCUUUGGGUCGUCGCCUUGGAGCAGUUCGGCGAGCCAGAGAGGAGAGGCCAACUAGUGCCCGGCAGACGGCAGCCGCGUCGGCUUGUUCAUCGCUCCGCGUAUGCGUCCAUACCCCGUGCGCAUGGGAGGAGGCAAAGAAAAAAAAGUGUUCUUCAGUGGCGACAAAUAGUGGCAGAUCGAGUUAGAAAAUUUCUCAUAGAAGGCCAGCCCCGCCCAAAAUAACAAUAACAAAAAAAAAAAAGAAUCAAAUAUAAGAAACAAAUAACGGAUCGUAGUCAGAUGCUCUAAGCAUCAAUACCCGAGUUAUUUUAUUCUCCCUCUCAUUUAGGCUUCUUUAGCUCUCUAUCCCUAUCUAUCUCUCUCCACCUAACUUUGCGCUGCGGGCGAGCCCCCACAUACCGGUGCCCGAUAAGCGCCGCUAAUCUGCACAUAGGAAUGCAAGACUGAGCGCAGAGGAAUGGGCCCAAAUCGGAAGCGCUUCGUCGAUGGAGGUUCCUGUGUUGUGCUUUCCGUCCGGUUUCAUAUGGCUUAUUGACACGCAUUAAAUGUAGAAUAAUAAUAGGGUAGGCCUCAGCUUAGGAGCAAAUAAACAAGAACACCACACUCGUGGCCGACGAGCCAGUAGCCGGAAAAUUGACAGCGUGCCGCUUCAAGCUGAGAGGACCAUCUCGCCUACAUCGUGGUUGCACGUGACAUUAAUUAUUAUUUUUGGCGCCCAACGUGGGGCCUCACUGUUAGGUGGGAAUUAUUACAAUUUGUACUUAGGGGUGUGGUUCACGAACAAUGACCUAAAACAAACCUUCACUUUUAAAAUUUUCCUUCCAUCGACUGUUCGAUGUCUUUAUUGAAGACAAAGAAACGCAAAUCAUUUCCGCUUUCAUUCAGUUCUCUUACGGAUCUUUGGAACACCGAUAGAAAACUAAGCCCCAGGGUAUGUUUCCGGGCCACGAUUCUAAGGGUUCUGAGUGAGUUUGACUUAUUUCUGUACAAAUAGCCUGAUUGUCGUGAUUAAUAGGAAUACUACUAGAAUAGCUUUAAGAAGCUAUCUGUU